CCAAUAGGCCAACUCCUCUGGGAGCUUGACUGAAAGUUAGCGGCUGAAUCAGACACAGGUAACUCAGAAAAAUAGCGAGGCAGAUUUUUUUUUCUAGGCUUGUCAUGGAGUUUGCGUAAAAGAAAACAGGGAUUUUUUUUCCAAUUUUCUUUACCAGUUAAACCAGUAUCUCUGGAUAGAACACGCUCAAGUACUUGAUCAGUUUUUACCCUUGUGGUCCCUGAUGGCUUCGCACAGUGAUACUCUGGUGGUGUUCUUUGGGGCAACAGCUGGUGCAAAUGGGGGUAAACUGGGUUCGGAUGAGAGGGAAAUAAUUCUCUUGGUGUGGCAAAUUGUGGAUCUACAUGAGAAAAAGGUUGGGAAACUUCAGAGACGUCUUGUGAAGCCCGACUCUUUGGAGUUGACAGACCAGAGUAAAGAGGAGACUGGGCUGUCUGUGGAGGAACUCUACAAGGCUGAACCUCUGGACAAAGUUCUGCAACAGUUCCAGCAGUCCGUCUCAGCGGAGUUGAAGGCUCUGGGCAGAAGCUCCUACACACUGUGUGUCGACGGGCCCCUCAUCAUACGACAGGCCCUUCACCCUGAGGCCUCCAAGAAGAACCUGGUCCUGCCGGAGUGUUUCUACUCCUUUGUGGAUGUGAGGAAAGAGUUUCACAAAUGUUGUCCCAAUGCUGGACAGGUCCAGGACCUAACACUGCACUCUAUGCUAGAAUAUGUGUGCAUCCCAGAACUUCCCCUGUCAGAGCAGGUGAUGGGGCUGAAGGAGGUGAGGUGUAUGGUCCAGCUCUCCCUGCACAUCCUGGCUGAGCCAUACAACCACAAAUUCUCAUGCUUUGAAGCUGUGAAGUACAAGCUUGAAUCGGGAGCAUGCAGUAAGACUGAGCCAGUGGACAGUGAGACAGUGAUCAGAGCCAGGGGGUUGCCAUGGCAAUCCUCUGACCAGGACAUCUCCCGCUUCUUCAAGGGCCUCAACAUCGCCAAGGGUGGUGUGGCCCUCUGUCUGAACGCCCAGGGCAGGAGGAAUGGUGAAGCCCUGGUUCGGUUCAUCAACCAGGAGCACAGAGACCUGGCCCUGGAGAGACACAAACACCACAUGGGCAGCAGAUACAUUGAGGUAUACAAAGCCACAGGAGAGGAAUUCCUCAAGAUCGCUGGAGGCACAUCCAACGAGGUGGCCCAGUUCCUGUCCAAGGAGAACCAGGUGAUCAUCAGGAUGAGGGGUCUUCCCUUCACCGCCUCUCCCCAGGACGUGUUGACCUUCCUGGGGGCCGACAGCCCCGUGACGGACGCCAGCGACGGCCUACUCUUCGUAAAGUACCCUGACGGGCGGCCCACAGGCGACGCCUUCGUCCUGUUCUCCUGUGAAGAGUACGCUCUGAACGCCCUGAAGAAACACAAGCAGAUUCUGGGCAAGAGAUACAUUGAGCUGUUCAGAAGCACUGCAGCAGAGGUCCAACAGGUCCUGAACCGUUACAUGUCCACCCCUCUGAUCUCCACGCUGCCCUCCACUUCCAUGGUCCCCAUGCCGGUCUUGGCCACGCCCCCCUACCUGGCGACUGGCAGCACGCGGGACUGUGUCCGUUUGCGAGGUCUACCCUACACCGCUGCUAUAGAGGAUAUACUGGAGUUCAUGGGAGAACACACUAUUGAUAUUAAACCACAUGGAGUUCAUAUGGUGCUCAACCAACAGGGUCGUCCCUCAGGUGACGCCUUCAUUCAGAUGAGGUCAGCUGACAGGGCGUUCAUGGUGGCCCAGAAGUGCCACAAGAAGAUGAUGAAGGACCGCUAUGUGGAGGUGUUCCAGUGUUCUACUGAGGAGAUGAGCUUCGUCCUGAUGGGAGGAACACUGAACCGCAGCGGCCUGUCCCCUCCACCCUGCAAACUACCCUGUCUGGCUCCUCCGGCCUAUGCUGCGUUCCCUUCUCCUGCCAUGCUCUCUGAGGCUGCUCUGUACCAGCCCCCCCUACUGGCCACCCCCAGAACACCCCAGCCCCCACACAGCCCUCACCCCACCCCCACCCUGGCCUACUACCCACCACAGCACCACCCUGCACAGCUCUACAUGAACAUGAACAUGAACUACACUGCGUACUACCCCAGCCCCCCAGUCUCUCCCUCCACGAUGAGCUACUUUGCGUCUCCUCCAGGGUCAGUAGCGUUAGCGGCCCAGCAGCCCCAUCCCCAAGGCCACGUUGCCUCUCCCAUGAUGCCCCAGCACGGCGCUCUAGUUAGGAUGCAGGGUCUGCCCUACAACGCCGGGGUCAAAGACAUCCUCAGCUUCUUCCAGGGAUACCAGGCGGAGUGAGUCUACAGAGGAGUACUCUCCUGAAGACUACAGCAGCAUGGUUCAGAUGAGUCAGGGACAGACCAGGAGUCUGAUUCAGCCCAAAGAGUGGCUCUGUCUGUAGGGAGACUAAGCUCCAGCCGGACGCCGUCCUCCUGUUGUACAACUUCAGUGGCCAGCGUAGCGGCGAGGCCCUGAUCACCUUCCCCAGCGAGGAGUCAGCCAGGCGGGCCGUGGCCGAGCGCGCCAACCACCCCCUGUCUGGUCUCCCCGUCCGUCUGCUGGUGUGCUGUGACUGACCUCGACCAGCUGACCGCUACCAUGGAGGGAGGAGUCGAGGACCACAACCGCUGAUUCCUUCUCCCUUGUCACUUCCUCUCCCUCCACUACUGAUACAAACACACACACACCUCCCCACAAACAAUCUGCCGAGACUCCUCCCUCUUAGCCUCCUUCUCAAGCUCCCUCUCAACAUUCAUACACAGACCGACAGACACCUCUCCCCACAGCACUAGGUUGGUCACAUAUUUAUAUACGAUGCAAAUCCUCCUUCCUGUGUGUCUGGCACGAAGUGCCUUGUGUGAAUACUUCCAUAACAUCCACCGACGAUGCCAAUGAAAUGUACCACUCACCUAAAGCAUGAAACCACUUCGCCCCUUGUUUUAGCUAAAUGACCACUACAGCCCCACUAUAUAAGACGUUCAUACCUUCACACAAAAUCCCUAUUCCCCUGUCUGGUUUGUCAGUCUGAAAACACUACUGUGUGUGUGCAUGUCUGCAAAAACUAUGUAUGUACUGUAUGCAUGUUAGUUGUAAAUGAUGUGCCUUCCAAUGCUGGGCUGUACAGUGUAAUAUUAGAUAAGAGCCAUAUAGACAGACUGAAACUACUACUGUACUGGAUAGAAGGGAAAUCAGACGCUUGUUCCACUACUCCCUUUUCUAAAACUAGAAAAGACAAGGCCACUAUGUACAGUAGUGAGAGCCACAGUAACAUGCUGGAUGCUGAGCUUAAUCACAGCUACUUGUGUAACCGUGUUUGUUUCUGCUGUGAAAGCAUUUGUAUGGCAUGCAAUUCUAUUUAGAAUAAUAUGUCCAAGCACUCUUUGUUACAAUCCGAGUAGGCUAAGGCUCAAGUAGCUGAAGUCUAAUUUAGUUCUGUAGUGUACGAGCAUGACCAAUAUUGAUUCUUUGUUUAAUCCAAAAAAACUCUUCCUUAAAUGUAUUUAAAUGUGAAAAGAGUUGGCGGUUGGUCUGCAUGAUCUUUAAGCAAUAUCCUUAAAGAGAGUAGAUCUCUGUGCCAUCUGUUUUCUUCCAGACUAUAUUUUAUAGAAAACCCUUGUUUUUGGACCUACGAACGGUAGAAAUAAAUAUAUAUAUAUAUAUAUAUAUUACAAAAAAAUGGCGAAUGAGUGUGACUGGGCUGCUGAGAAUACUAGUGUCUGGUUUCUCAUCUUCGCUGUGCCUAUAUUACCCAGAGUGCAAUAGCAGGCCCCUCUGUGGCUUGGCUGACCUCUGGUGGCAGACGGAAUAUAUUUUUUGUUUCUUUUUAAGCAAGUUUGAGACUUGACUUGAAUGAAUUUAACUACUGUAUGUGUAUAUAACUGUUUGAAUAAAUACAUGGAACUUUAUUGCCCCAGUGUUUAAAUUGCCUUAAUUUGUUCUGAACUGUAUCAAUGAAAUUCUAUUGAAGAAGUCCGACAUUUUAGAUGAGGCCAAUAAACAGUAGUCUGUGA